UACGAAGGGGGCUAGCGUUACUCGGAUUGACUGGGCGUAAAGGGCGCGUAGGCGGAUUGUUAAGUCAGGGGUGAAAUCCUGGAGCUCAACUCCAGAACUGCCUUUGAUACUGGCGAUCUUGAGUCCGGGAGAGGUGAGUGGAACUGCGAGUGUAGAGGUGAAAUUCGUAGAUAUUCGCAAGAACACCAGUGGCGAAGGCGGCUCACUGGCCCGGUACUGACGCUGAGGUGCGAAAGCGUGGGGAGCAAACAGG
rnacentral:rRNA from 1 species